ACCAAGAGUUCCCAAACUUUUUUUCGGCUGCAGACCCCUUUACCAAAAACUUUUAAAACCGUUGACCCCCUAGUUAUUUACUUUACUUACUCAAAUUAAUAAAUUUGUACAGUACUCGAUAUUAAAUAUUUCACUAGAUAUCAAACUUUUUAUUUUAAUCACUUGUAAUUAAUGAUUGAAAAAGAUAAAAGGACUACGGAAUAUGGCAUUAUCUUGUGCAACAUUUAAUAUUGAAACCUGCACUAACAAAACUUAAAGCAAAAUAAAUGCGAACAGAGUUUUUUUUUACAUUUUUGACAUUUAUGAAAUAAAUAUGUAAAUUCAAAAUAACUUCAAAUAGUCCAAGCUGUACUGUCUGCAUUUCAUUUUUGGUUCAGUCAUAUUAUUAUCUGAAGAAAAAAAAACUUUUAUUAACAAACAAUUUCGACAGCCCCUGUGAUAAAAAACAAAAAACAAA